AAGUCGUAACAAGGUUUCCGUAGGUGAACCUGCGGAAGGAUCAUUAGUAAAGUCGGGGUUCUCCCGUCCCUCACCCGGGAGGGGAACCCGUCCUUACCGAAAACCCCGCGCCUCCAGUGGGGGGUGGAGCAACACCCCCCGGGGGGGUGCAACCCUCAAGAACCACUCUUCUUACCUUUUUGCUGUUGUCUGGAAGGGCGCUCGGCCCCAAAACGAAGGAAACAAGUUCUAAAACUUUCAACAACGGAUCUCUUGGCUCUC
rnacentral:misc_RNA from 1 species